AUAGAAUUUUAUAUUGAAAAGAUUAAGUAGUUAACACUGAAUACUUUUCAAUAUUUGGUUGGGAGAACUGUUAAAUUUAAUAAAUUUUAUAUUUAUAUAAACUUUAAUUAAAGAAAAAAUAAUGAUCUUCAAUUUGAAAUCAAUAGAAUAAAUUACCUUAGGGAUAACAGCGUAAUAUUUUUUUAUAGACCUUAUAGAAAAAAAUGGUUGCGACCUCGAUGUUGAAUUAAGAUAAAUUUUAAAUGCAGGAGUUUAAUAAUUAAGUCUGU
rnacentral:rRNA from 1 species